GCCCGAGGAUGGGACUGCGGCCUAUCAGGCUGUUGGUGGUGUAACGGACCACCAAACCUACGACGGGUACGGGCGAUGGGAGUCGGAGCCCGGAGAUGGGGACUGAGACAAGGCCCCAGGCCCUACGGGGCGCAGCAGGCGCGAAAACUCCGCAAUGCGCGCAAGCGUGACGGGGGGAUCCCAAGUGCCGUUGGUCUUUCGAUCGACGGCUUUUCGGAAGUCUAAGGAGCUUCCGGAAUAAGGGCUGGGUAAGACUGGUGCCAGCCGCCGCGGUAACACCAGCAGCCCAAGUGGUGGCCACGAUUAUUGGGCCUAAAGCGCUCGUAGCCGGGCCAGCAAGUCCCUUGUGAAAUCGGGCCGCCCAACGGUUCGGCGUGCAAGGGAUACUGUUGGUCUUGAGGCCGGGAGAGGUCGGAGGUACUCCUGGGGUAGCGGUGAAAUGCUCUAAUCCUGGGGGGACCACCAGUGGCGAAGGCGUCCGACCAGAACGGACCUGACGGUGAGGGGCGAAGGCUAGGGGAGCGAACGGGAUUAGAUACCCCGGUAGUCCUAGCUGUAAAGCAUGCGGGCCAGGUGUCUAGCGCUCCUUGAGGGCGCUAGGUGCCGGAGGGAAGCCGUUAAGCCCGCCGCCUGGGAAGUACGGCCGCAAGGCUGAAACUUA
rnacentral:rRNA from 1 species